rnacentral:rRNA from 1 species
UGGGGAAUUUUGCACAAUGGGGGAAACCCUGAUGCAGCGACGCCGCGUGAUUUAGAAGGCCUUCGGGUUGUAAAAAUCUUUUUUACGGGAUGAAAAUGACAGUACCGUAAGAAUAAGGUCCGGCUAAAUACGUGCCAGCAGCCGCGGUAAUACGUAUGGACCGAGCGUUGUCCGGAAUCAUUGGGCGUAAAGGGUACGUAGGCGGCCUAGUAAGUUAGAAGUGAAAUAAUAUAGCUCAACUAUAUAAAGCUUUUAAAACUGCUAGGCUUGAGAGAUGGAAGGGAAAGUGGAAUUCCUAGUGUAGCGGUGAAAUGCGCAGAUAUUAGGAAGAAUACCGGUGGCGAAGGCGACUUUCUGGUCAUCAUCUGACGCUGAGGUACGAAAGCGUGAGUAGCAAACAGG